rnacentral:rRNA from 1 species
UACUCGGAUAACUGUGGCAAUUCUAGAGCUAAUACAUGCAAUAAAGCUCGGACCUUAUGGGACGAGCGCAUUUAUUAGACCAAAACCAAUCGGGCUUCGGCCUGAGCUUUGGUGACUCUGAAUAACUAAGUUGAUCGCACGGUCUUAGUACCGGCGACGCAUCUUUCAAGUGUCUGCCUUAUCAACUUUCGAUGGUAGUUUAUGUGCCUACCAUGGUUGUAACGGGUAACGGAGAAUAAGGGUUCGACUCCGGAGAGGGAGCCUGAGAAACGGCUACCACAUCCAAGGAAGGCAGCAGGCGCGCAAAUUACCCAAUCUCAGCACGAGGAGGUAGUGACGAAAAAUAAACGCUUCUAAUGGUCUUAGAGGCCCGCUAUCGGAAUGGGUACAAUUUAA